ensembl:lncRNA
UGUGACCUGACAGGGCUUAUAAGGUAAACUACUGCAUUUAAAGAAGUGCACCUUAUAUAUAGUAGGUAGAUGUCACAGUGUCUGGUCUGUGUUUCCCUAGGUUUCCACUAGUGGUCUCACUUUCCCAUAGUCACCCCACUGCAGGCACUAUAUUUCCCACAAAGCCUUUGUCUCUUUCAUUACUGUUAAAUGCUCAUCUGUUAAUUGCACUCAGCAAUUGGAUCUCUCAUUUGCUGUGUGCAUUCGUAACAGAAAGACUCCAUCAUGCCCAGAUCCAGCAGUGUGGGAUUUCAUAUCCGUUCCCCAACCACCAUAGAGGAGCGGAUUGGGGAGACUCUUGAACCUAACCACCCUCCGUCAAAAGGGGAGUGAGGUGGGUGGCUUGGCUCAAGUCUUUUGGACAAUGGCAGUGGGGCUGGGUUAUAAUGAUGAGGCCCUGAAGGACCUAUUUAACAACUGCCUGGAUGACCCUUUGCCUGGGUGGGAGAUGAAGGGGCUGGAGGUCCUGGACUUUUGGGGGUUCACCAGUUACCUUCAACAUCGUAGUCAAUGGUAUACACAGACCACAGCCGUCUCUCCAGACACGAUGGCCGCCAGCCCAACGCCACUGCACAAGAUGGCCACCAGCCCAGUGCCACAGCACCAGGUGACUGCCAGGCUAGAGCCACUGCCCAAGAUGGCCGCCGGCCCAGCGCCACAGCACCAGAUGAGCGCCAGGCCAGAACAACUGCCCAAGAUGGCCGCCGGCCCAGCGCCACAGCACAAGAUAGCAUCUGGCCCAGCGCCACUGCACAAAAUGGCCACUGGCACAGUGCCACUGCACCAGAUGGCAGCCACAGGUGACCGUACAGAGUUGAGUCAGGUCCCCACUGACCAGGUCCCCGUGGUCCCUCCAGACUCAAGUCAGGUACCCAUGGUCCCUUCAGAGUCGAGUCAGGUCCCUGUGGUCCCUCCAGAGUCAGGUCAAGUCACCAUUAACACUCAUGAGUCAAGCCCAACCACAGUUAGACCUCAUGAGUCAAGUCAAGUCACCCUUGAUCUUCCUGAACCCAGUCAAAUCACCACGGAUCUACCAGAGCCUCUUCACAUCUCUGCUGAACUACCAGAGCCUCUUCACGUCUCUGCUGAACUACCAGAGCCUCGUCAUGUCUCUGCCGAACUUCCUGAGCGUUCGUCCUAUCCUGUCAUGGCCAUGGAGGCCAUCCAGGAACUCACCGCCUUCCUGUCAUGGCCAUGGAGACCAUCUACCAUCUCAUCAGGGCCACGGAGGCCACCCUUAACCUGUUCAUGUUCUCUAUUUCAGGCUUACCUAACCAGACUCUCCUGUGCAAUCAAUUCUACUGUGGUGGUUUUCUGCGCCGCCCUGGUGGGCUUCUGUCUUGUCUGUUCGGCUGUGGUGGCCCUCUGCGCUGCCCUGGUGGGCCUCUGUCUCGACCUCAAGGCGGUGGUGGUUCUCUGCACCACCCAGUCCCGUCUGCUAGGCUGUGGUGGGCUCCAGUUCCAUCUGUGCCAUCCCGGUGGGCUCCAGUUCCACCUGCUCCACACUGAUGUUUAAAUAAGUAAAGCAUUUUUUUUUUACUCAAGAAACAAUAUGUUUUUUGUGUGUUUGAAGAGUGAGAAGAAUCUUACCAUUUGCCAUCGAGAUGUAACAUUAGC